AUGAAGCGUGCAUUGGUGUGUGUGCUGAUGGCUGCCUGGAGCCUUGGAUGUGGCAGCCAGACGGUGCACCAACCAGCUGAGAAUGUGUACGCCAUGAAAGGCGACUCAAUUACGCUGGACUGCAGCUAUGAAAACUCUGGAAGCAACGACUACAUCUUCUGGUACAAACAGGACGGGCAGGCGGCACCAAAGUUCAUCCUGAGCCUCACCAUGAAGAGUCAGGGCAACACUGAGAGCAUCUUUGAAAAGAGGUUGAGCUGCAGCAUCAAUGACACCGCCAAGCGAGCUCCUCUGAAGAUCCAAGACGUGCAGCUGAGCGACUCUGCAGUCUUCUACUGCGCCAUCCAGCCCACAAUGACUGACAUCUCUGCUGCACCCGCACAAAAACCUCUGUAGGCUCCUCAUCCCACUGUGGCUGUUUGAGAGCUGGUUCUGAGGACGUUUUCACAGCUUUUGUCCUUGUCAGGA